rnacentral:rRNA from 1 species
GACGAACGCUGGCGGCGUGCUUAACACAUGCAAGUCGAACGGAAAGGCUCCAGCUUGCUGGAGUACUCGAGUGGCGAACGGGUGAGUAACACGUGGGUAAUCUGCCCUGCACUCUGGGAUAAGCCUGGGAAACUGGGUCUAAUCCUGGAGAUGAGCUUUCUCCUUAUUGGGUGUGGGGGAAAGUUUUUCGGUUUAGGAUGAGCCCGCGGCCUAUCAGCUUGUUGGGGGGGUGAUGGCCUACCAAGGCGACGACGGGUAGCCGGCCUGAGAGGGUGACCGGCCACAUUGGGACUGAGAUACGGCCCAGACUCCUACGGGAGGCAGCAGUGGGGAAUAUUGCACAAUGGGCGGAAGCCUGAUGCAGCGACGCCGCGUGAGGGAUGACGGCCUUCGGGUUGUAAACCUCUUUCAGCAGGGACGAAGCGUAAGUGACGGUACCUGCAGAAGAAGCACCGGCUAACUACGUG